GGGAUAACUACUGGAAACGGUGGCUAAUACCGCAUAACGUCGCAAGACCAAAGAGGGGGACCUUCGGGCCUCUUGCCAUCAGAUGUGCCCAGAUGGGAUUAGCUAGUUGGUGAGGUAACGGCUCACCAAGGCGACGAUCCCUAGCUGGUCUGAGAGGAUGACCAGCCACACUGGAACUGAGACACGGUCCAGACUCCUACGGGAGGCAGCAGUGGGGAAUAUUGCACAAUGGGCGCAAGCCUGAUGCAGCCAUGCCGCGUGUAUGAAGAAGGCCUUCGGGUUGUAAAGUACUUUCAGCGGGGAGGAAGGUGUUGUGGUUAAUAACCGCAGCAAUUGACGUUACCCGCAGAAGAAGCACCGGCUAACUCCGUGCCAGCAGCCGCGGUAAUACGGAGGGUGCAAGCGUUAAUCGGAAUUACUGGGCGUAAAGCGCACGCAGGCGGUCUGUCAAGUCGGAUGUGAAAUCCCCGGGCUCAACCUGGGAACUGCAUUCGAAACUGGCAGGCUUGAGUCUUGUAGAGGGGGGUAGAAUUCCAGGUGUAGCGGUGAAAUGCGUAGAGAUCUGGAGGAAUACCGGUGGCGAAGGCGGCCCCCUGGACAAAGACUGACGCUCAGGUGCGAAAGCGUGGGGAGCAAACAGGAUUAGAUACCCUGGUAGUCCACGCCGUAAACGAUGUCUACUUGGAGGUUGUGCCCUUGAGGCGUGGCUUCCGGAGCUAACGCGUUAAGUAGACCGCCUGGGGAGUACGGCCGCAAGGUUAAAACUCAAAUGAAUUGACGGGGGCCCGCACAAGCGGUGGAGCAUGUGGUUUAAUUCGAUGCAACGCGAAGAACCUUACCUGGUCUUGACAUCCACAGAAGAAUCCAGAGAUGGAUUUGUGCCUUCGGGAACUGUGAGACAGGUGCUGCAUGGCUGUCGUCAGCUCGUGUUGUGAAAUGUUGGGUUAAGUCCCGCAACGAGCGCAAC
rnacentral:rRNA from 1 species